rnacentral:lncRNA from 1 species
AAUUCCCGUGCCGAUGUUUGGAAUCCUUAGUUACCUCAGUUAUCUUCAGCUGAGAGCUCUCACUGAGAGAGUAAGGAGAUAAGGUGGUACAAAUCUGAUGAAGAAGGCUGGUGUUUAUGUCAAACCAUAGCAGCAGAUGAAGGCCAAGGGGUUCUUUCCCAUGAGUGUAGCUACUGUCACUCCUUUCCCAUUGUGCUUCUCUAUAUGGAAGAAAACAUACUACUGAAAAGUCAUCUUGAACUACUGCAUUACCAUGCUAGCUCACAAGAGUGCAGUGUAGGGGCAGGCUGAAAGGAUGUCGCAGUCGAGAAUUAAAGCAUAACUGAUAUAGUAAGUCUAAUUUUAGGUGUAAUGAUCCUGUCUGUUUCCUCACAAAUGAGACAGACUAAAAAAUGAUCUCAGUAGGUAUUAUAC